CUCCAUCCAGCAAACAGAGCACUGUAGUAUCAGUGGAACCCGCAUCAAACUGAAAUGUGAGGCACAAUUAACAUGCUUCUGCAAUGAAGAAGGUCCGUUUGAACUGGAAGAGUUUCCUGAAAUCCCUGUAAAAGAUCAAAGUAGCAUUUCCAUGGAACAUGAGCUCUAUCCUGAGGAAACCAAGCACUAUGAAGGACAACCAACAACACCAGAAGUGCCAAAGAGGAACAACAGCCCCAGGAUCAAAUCAUUUGGUCUGCUGGUGCUCCUGGUGCUGCUUUUUGUUACACAGGUGAACCUGAUUUUGGAUCUGAUGACCUGAUGGCUGAUUACACUCAUCUGCAUUAACCUGGUCGCCGGGUGGAUAAAGCUGGAAGACUGCAAACCUGAACAGCUUUUGGCUCUCCCUUAGCUGAGCUCGCUCUUUAGCUGGCUUGCUUGUAGUUUUACUUUGUAGUCAAUAAAUAAAUAGCAUCA